ensembl:lncRNA
GUAUUUUAAGGUUUGAAAGAGUAACUAAUGGAAAACCUUGUUUUGACACCCAUCUCCUUCUGAACCUGGUGACUCUCAGCCCUGGAUGAACAGCAGAAUCGCUGGAGAGCUUUAAAAAUACUGAUGUUCAGGUCAUAUUCUUGGCCAGUUAAAUACAAAUCUCUUUGAGAGGCACACAGGCCUUAGAAAAAUGGGAACGUCAGGGACAGAAUGAACCACCGUGGCACCCACGUAUGGGAACUUUCAGAUGGGACUUGACGCCAUCAAAUGGGUUAAUGUUACUUGAUGCCGAUAGUACUUCUGAGAGACAACAUAUUAAAAAGCAAAGACAUCACUUUACUGACAAAGAUCUGUAUAGUCAAAGCUAUACAGUAGUCAUGCAUGGAUGUGAGAGUUGGACCAUAAAGAAGGUUGAGUACCAAAGAAUUGAUGUUUUCAAAUUGUGGUCCUGGGAGAAGACUCUUGAGAGUCCCUUGGACUGCAAGGAGAUCAAACCAGUCAAUCUUAAGGAAAUCAACCCUGAAUAUUCACUGGAAGCACUGAUGCUGAAGCUGAAGCUCCAAUCCUUUGGCCACCUGAUGCGAAGAGCUGACUCAUUGGAAAAGACACUGAUGCUGGGAAAGACUGAGGCAAAAGGACAAGGGGGAAGCAGAUGAUAAGAAGGUUAGAUAGCAUCACCGACUCAAUGGACAUGAGUCUGAGCAAACUCUGGGAGACAAUGGAGGUCAGAGGAGAGAGUUGAGUCCUGGUGACCUACCAUCCAUGGGGUUGCAAACAGUUGGAGACGACUGAAUGACUGAGCAACAACAUCAAGUAUUCCAUUGUAUAUAUGUACUACAUCUUCUUUAUCCGUUUCUUUCAGUGGACAUUUGGGUUGCUUCCAUGUUUUGGAUGCUGUAAAACAUGGCUGUGAACAUUGGGGUGCGUGUAUCUUUCCGAACUACAGUUUUCUCCAGGCACAUGCUCAGGAGUGGCAUUGCUGGAUCACACGGUAGCUCUAUUUUUAAUUUUUGAGGAGCCUCCACACUUCUCUCCAUAGCGGCUGCACCAAUUUACAUUCCCACCGACAGCAUAGGAGGGUUCCUUUUUCUCCACACCCUCUGCAGCAUUUAUAAUUUGUAGACUUUUUGUUGACCUUUUGGACCAAGUGCUAACCUCUUUCAAUGUUAGUUUUCUUAUUCAUCCAACGGGGGACUAAUUUCCUUCAAAGUUGUGGCAAGGCUUUGUGAGUUGGUUAUUAGAUGCUGCUCUGUGUCCAGACGUCUCCUGCUCAGGUGGGCCCUGUGUUUGAGGAAGUGUGAGGUGCUGGGUGGAGUCGUGUACACUGUUCCCAGAACGUGCCCUCAGCCCUGUUGUGGUCUUGACAUCUCAGAGACAGCCGCUCUUGUAGAUGAAGCAGAGGGUUCUUCCCACAGCCAGGGUUUGGUCUGCUCAUUCUCAAAGACCUGGCAGGAAGAGGAACUCCAACAGGAGUGGGUGGGCACUGGGAGGGUGAUGAGACACUGAUCCACAGUUUUACCCCUUUGUAAAUCUCAGGCACACAGGUUAAAUUACUCAUAUCUCUCAAUAAAUUGAACCUCACCAUCAUUUUCCUGUUCUCAGCCCUUCUCCUUUUUUUUUUUUUUUUUUUUAAUUAAACAUAAUUUUUACCCUCAGUCUCAGGCUUCCCAGCAGUGCUAGUGGUAAAGAACCUUCUUGCCAAUGCAGGAGACAUAAGAGACUCAGGUUCAAUCCCUGGGUUGGGAAGAUUCCUUGGAGGAGAGUAUGGCAACCCACUCCAGUAUUCUUGCCUGGAAAAUUCCAUGGACAGAGGAGCCUGGCAGGCUACAGUUGCAAAG